AGUGAACGCUGGCGGUAGGCUUAACACAUGCAAGUCGAACGGCAGCACAGUAAGAGCUUGCUCUUACGGGUGGCGAGUGGCGGACGGGUGAGGAAUACAUCGGACUCUACUUUUUCGUGGGGGUUAACGUAGGGAGACUUACGCUCGUACCGCAUACGCCCUACGGGUGAAAGGAGUGGAUCUUCGGACCUUGCGCGAUUGGAUGAGCUGAUGUUGGAUUAGCUAGUUGGCGGGGUAAAGACCCACCAAGGCGACGGUACGUAUCUGGUCUGUGAGAAUGGUCAGCCACACGGGAACGUGAACACGGACCAUACUCCUACGAGAGGCAGCAGUGUGGAAUAGUGGACAAUAGUCGCAAGCCUUGUCCAGCCAUACCGCGUCUGAUAAGGAGGCCUUCCGUGUGGAAAGCCCUUUUGUUGGGAAUGAAAAGCAGCAGCUUGAGACCCCGCUGUUCUGACGGUACCCAAAAAAUAAGCACCGGCUAACUUCGUG
rnacentral:rRNA from 1 species